rnacentral:rRNA from 1 species
GGAGGGCGCAAGCGUUGUUCGGAAUUACUGGGCGUAAAGGGCAGGUAGGUGGUCUGUUAAGUCUUCUGUGAAAAUCCGGGGCUCAACCCCGCGAAAUGCAGGAGAAACUGGCAGACUUGAGACCGGUAGAGGCUAGCGGAAUUCCUGGUGUAGCGGUGGAAUGCGUAGAUAUCAGGAAGAACACCUGUGGCGAAGGCGGCUAGCUGGGCCGGUUCUGACACUGAACUGCGAAAGCGUGGGGAGCAAACAGGGAUUAGAUACCCUGGUAGUCCACGCCGUAAACGAUGGGCACUAGAUGCUGGGCAUAUAGACGUGUUCAGUGUCGUCGCUAACGCAUUAAGUGCCCCCCGCCUGGGAGUACGGUCGCAAGGCUG